rnacentral:rRNA from 1 species
AUUGAACGCUGGCGGCAGGCCUAACACAUGCAAGUCGAACGAGUGGCGGACGGGUGAGUAAUGUCUGGGAAUCUGCCUGAUGGAGGGGGAUAACUACUGGAAACGGUAGCUAAUACCGCAUACCAUCAGAUGUGCCCAGAUGGGAUUAGCUAGUUGGUGGGGUAACGGCUCACCAAGGCGACGAUCCCUAGCUGGUCGGAGAGGAUGACCAGCCACCCUGGAACUGAGACAUGGUCCAGACUCCUACGGGAGGCAGCAGUGGGGAAUAUUGCACAAUGGUCGCAAGCCUGAUGCAGCCAUGCCGCUUGUAUGAAGAAGGCCUUCGGGGGGUAAAGUACUUUCAGCGGGGAGGCGUUACCCGCAGAAGAAGCACCGGCUAACUCCGUGCCAGCAGCCGCGGUAAUAC